rnacentral:rRNA from 1 species
UACAGAGGUCCCAAGCGUUGUUCGGAUUUACUGGGCGUAAAGGGCGCGCAGGCGGUUCGGCACGUCCGUUGUGAAAUCGCUCGGCUCAACUGGGCGGGGUCAGCGGAUACGGUCGAACUUGAGCAAGCUAGGGGGCAAUGGAAUUCCCGGUGUAGUGGUGGAAUGCGUAGAUAUCGGGAGGAACACCAGUGGCGAAGGCGGUUGCCUGGAGCUUUGCUGACGCUGAGGCGCGAAAGCGUGGGGAGCGAUCCGG